ACGGUGAACUAGAGCAAGGAAUAAAGCGCGCAAUGGCUUUUGCCACAACAACCGAAACCUCCCUGUCCCCGUCCACAUUAAUUUAAUGCAGUGUUUUAUGGUUAUGAUACUGGUAAACAUGACAACACCAACAGAUGAUGAUGUGAGAAAAUAUUCCUUCAUACAGAAAAGUGAUACGGUUUUGGAAUAAUGCUUUACCAUUUUCAAAAUGCUGCUCCUGGUUGACGCUAUCGUGCCAGCUAGUGUUCUCUUUUAUGAUGCUCGAUCUCAAGCUACAAAGUUGUGCACAAGGCCUUGGAGAAUUUUAAUAGUCAGUCUCUAUCCUAUCAAACCAAACUAGUUACCCCUACCCCUACCCCUACCCCUACCCUACCUCAAACUUGAGAAAAUGAAGGGAAAAUUACUUGCAUGGUUGCUGUUGAUGAUCCUAUCAAGCUUCGCUCUCACAAACAGUUCUUUCCAUUUGGAACACUAUCAACGUGAUGUUAAUCUCUCAAGGCCCAUCCUACGAGGACAAGAAACUAUUCAUGGUGUACUUGGCACGGUGAGACUGAAUGGAUCAGAAAAAGAUUAUGAAAGAAGCAACAAAGAACAAGAAGAUUUGGUUGUUUUAGAAAAGGGACAGAAAGGAAAAACAGGAGUUUAUGGUGGUGCAACUGCUACUCAUCGCCCCAGUCAAGAGAAGAGUAGUGCAACACCCGGCUCUUGUCUCACCACAAAUACCAUGUUGCCCGUAAUCUUCAGUUUGGUUUUUACUCUUUCCUUCAAAUUAGUCUAGAUGUUCCCAUCGAUUCCAAACACGUCUAUCUAUAUCGAGUGUGAGUUUUUAGGAAAUUUUCUCCCACUUUCUUUUGGAGUGACCUUUUUGAUGAUGACAGAUCUUCAUUUUCGAGCUUUCCAUAUGAGUAUCUACUUGGAUGGACUUGGUGGUUGAUUUCUGCGAUUGAGAAGGGCUUUUCAUGUUGGUUAGGUAUAUGUUUGAUGAGUGUUUAGAUCUCAAUUUAUUGAGAAAGCAGGACUGGCGUUUUGCUAAUAGUUCUUGCCGUGUGAAAGUUUUCAAAUAAUUGUCGUGGAUCAACUGCAUGGUUCCUGGAUUUUGCUACUCAUGUAAUUUCCAUAACUCAAGCGAUUGGUUGUACCGUAAUAUUGUGUACUCUCUCUUUAAUCGAGAAAGAAAACUAGUUUGAACU